AGGAGCGUCUCGCAUCCCAGCCCUGUAAAUACUGACAGAGGAGAAGAGCUCGGCAUGGAGGUGGCGGGGACGCAGUUGGUGGAAAAGGACAUCGAGAACUUGGCCCGAGACGAACUGCAAAAACUCGUCCUGGAGCAAAUGGAGCUGAGGAAGAAAUUGGAGAGGGACUUCCAGAGUCUGAAAGGUACCGGGGGAGCCCCUCCUUGCGGCCGGGGCCGGGCGGGG